GAGAGUUUGAUCAUGGCUCAGAUUGAACGCUGGCGGCAGGCCUAACACAUGCAAGUCGAGCGGAAACGAGUUAUCUGAACCUUCGGGGAACGAUAACGGCGUCGAGCGGCGGACGGGUGAGUAAUGCCUAGGAAAUUGCCUUGAUGUGGGGGAUAACCAUUGGAAACGAUGGGUAAUACCGCAUGAUGCCUACGGGCCAAAGAGGGGGACCUUCGGGCCUCUCGCGUCAAGAUAUGCCUAGGUGGGAUUAGCUAGUUGGUGAGGUAAUGGCUCACCAAGGCGACGAUCCCUAGCUGGUCUGAGAGGAUGAUCAGCCACACUGGAACUGAGACACGGUCCAGACUCCUACGGGAGGCAGCAGUGGGGAAUAUUGCACAAUGGGCGCAAGCCUGAUGCAGCCAUGCCGCGUGUAUGAAGAAGGCCUUCGGGUUGUAAAGUACUUUCAGCAGUGAGGAAGGGGGUGUCGUUAAUAGCGGCAUCUCUUGACGUUAGCUGCAGAAGAAGCACCGGCUAACUCCGUGCCA
rnacentral:rRNA from 1 species